rnacentral:hammerhead_ribozyme from 1 species
ACUCGGAUCUGCCGAGUCCCAAACAGGACGAAACGCGCGUCCUGAAU